rnacentral:rRNA from 1 species
UGGGGAAUAUUGGACAAUGGGCGAAAGCCUGAUCCAGCCAUGCCGCGUGUGUGAAGAAGGUCUUCGGAUUGUAAAGCACUUUAAGUUGGGAGGAAGGGCAUUAACCUAAUACGUUAGUGUUUUGACGUUACCGACAGAAUAAGCACCCGCUAACUCUGUGCCAGCAGCCGCGGUAAUACAGAGGGUGCAAGCGUUAAUCGGAAUUACUGGGCGUAAAGCGCGCGUAGGUGGUUUGUUAAGUUGGAUGUGAAAGCCCCGGGCUCAACCUGGGAACUGCAUCCAAAACUGGCAAGCUAGAGUACGGUAGAGGGUGGUGGAAUUUCCUGUGUAGCGGUGAAAUGCGUAGAUAUAGGAAGGAACACCAGUGGCGAAGGCGACCACCUGGACUGAUACUGACACUGAGGUGCGAAAGCGUGGGGAGCAAACA